UAAAAGGUGAGAAAACUAUAGGAGUGGAGCCACCUUAAUAUAAACAAAUAUGGCGGGCGAGACAAUAGCUUGGGGCCAGUUGUUGUUGUGCAGUACAGAGACGAAACCACCUAUACGUUUAAUGAGAAAUAAUAUAAAGAUUGGUAGAACAAGUGGUAAGUUUAUUUUGAUAAUAUCCAGAUUGUUUUGAUAUCAUUUCUAAUUAUAAUAUGAUAAAGUAUGCAAAAUUUAUGCAUUCGGUUGAAAUCUGUUCAGUGACUUCAGUCGGGUACUUUACACUCCCGGCGUACUUAAUCGAUGAAAUCGAUAAUCGAUGAGUAUCGAUAUCAAUCAAUACCAAUCGAUAUUGAUCAAUUGAUUGAUAUUGGAAAUCGAUGAAUAAUCGAUGGCUUCUUUUGCUGUGACUUUCAUCGAUUGAUCAUCGAUUUAUUAAUUUUCAUUGAUGAAAAAAUCCUCAGUUAGUAAUAUGCAUGCAAUCAAACAGGCAACGCCGUUAUUUAAUUAAUACGUACUUUAAUGUCGUAACAAACUCAAAUGUGAACGGAAUUCAGUAACAAUGGAUUAAAUUAAGUUUUCAUCUAGCUAUAAUGCAGAUCAAAUACAUGUGUCCGUUCGAAAAAUGAGAACAUAUUUACUAUUUAGCUCGAACACGCCGACACGCGGCGAUUAUUUACGAUAUAAAUCGAUAAAAAUCUAAAGCAUUUUGUCGAUAAAAAUCGAUAAAUAUCGAUGAAAAUCGAUGAAUAUCGAUAAUAAUCGAUAAAAUUGGCUAUAACUUUGUGUGACUAUCGAUUGGUCAUCGAUUGAUCAAUGUCAAUCGAUAUCAAUUAAGUAAUUAGCAUCGAUUGCCAUCGAUUGAUCGAUUGGAUUUCCGAUGAUCGGUUUUUAUCGAUUAAGUACGCCGGAUUUACACUUUACCGUACCGUAAGUAUUUGAUGGCGUGCGUUCUGACGGUUUUUCCGUGGCGCAACUGUUGCUAUAAAGAUGUGGUAUGGAAAAGAAAGGACGAUAAAAAGUCUAUAGUAGCAGAUAUUCAACGGGAAAAAUCUCGUAGUCGUACUAGAUUUCGUAGCUGUAGCGAAUCUAAAGUCCCCUAUUAUCCGGCCGGAUAUCGGUUUUCUAACCCCUCCUUACCGUAACUCAGGGUCUGAAAUUUACAGUAUCCCAAUAUUCACAGGAUACCAAAAAUUUGGUUUUAGAUAGUAUAGAUACCAAACUGUGAAUGACUUUAAUAUAUCCCGACUGGAUACUAAGAAUUUCAAACAUUAAAAAAACACCUUUGAUGGACUCUUGAGAGCUUUUGAAUACUAUCAGUUUACCACCAGUUCUUCCUCAUUGAGACCUAGCAUAUAGAAGGUUGUUGAAUGAUUAAAUGGACUGUUGAGUCUCAUGUUGUUAUUCUGAGUGCCCGGCACUGGUGCCCAAUGUUCAAAAUGGUUCACAAAACAUGUUGAGCACAGUGCCGUUGUUGAGUACUACCUCUAGAGGUAGUGCCCGUUCUUGGGCACUGUGCCCAAUUUUAUUUGAAAGCGUCGUGUUCAAACUGGGAGCCAAAACAAGUGCCGGGCACCAGUGCCGGGCACCCAGUCUGGACGCAGCCUAAUACUGAUGGUUCCCCAGAAUCCAGAAGUAGGAUACUGCAUGGAUUCUCAAGGGGAAUACUAAACUUUUAAUCCUGGUGUCCCAGGUGGAUAUACUGAAAAAAAAUAUAAAUUUUAAGAUCCUGUUGAAGGCGAAACGGAAGGAAUACUGGGUUGAAGUAAUAAGUGCAAAUCACUUUCGAGACAUCUGCCAGCAGGGAAACUUUUGCAAUGCAGCGGAUAAAUUUUUAUUCAUUCCAAUGGACCAUUCCCCAAUUAACCAAAAUUUUGAUCUGAACAAGUCUAGACAAAAUUCCAUCAUGGCAUGAAAGAGCAUCACAAAAUUAGUAAUAUUCCAAAGUUUCGUUUGCGAAAUGUUGUAAAAUGCGGAUAAUAUAGCCUUGCGAAAUUUGCAAUUUUCAGUCAUUUUAGAUUACAAACGGGAAGUGGUUACCACUUUUCCAAAAUUUUGAUCUGAACUAGCCUAAACAAAAAUUUCAUCACAGCUUGAAGGAGCAUCGCAAAAUUAGUAAUAUUCCAAAGUUUCGUUGCAAAAUGUUGUAAAAUGCGGAUAAUUUAGCCUUGCUAAGUUUGUAAUUUUCAGUCAUUUUGUAUUACACACAGAAGCGGUAACCAUUUCCCCUUUGUAAUCUAAAAUGACUGAAAAUUGCAAACUUCGCAAGGCUAUAUUAUCCGCAUUUUACAACAUUUUGCAACGAAACUUUGGAAUGUUACGAAUUUUUUGAUGCUCUUUUAAGCUGCGAUGAAAUUUUUGUCUAGACUUGUUGAGUUCAACAUUUUGGUUAAUUGGGGAAUGGUCCAUUGUUUCAAUUUUUCAAUUUCAAUAAAAAAUUUCAAUAAAAAAAUUUUGCUCGAAAAGUCUACUGUACUCCUUAUUUUAUUUAUUUCUGAUGCACACAAAUUAUUCAUCCAAAAUAUACGGUAUCCGGCCGGAUUAAAACCACCACUGUCCGGUGCACCCUAGUUAUCAGUUCACAAAACCUUAGUAUUAUUCUUUAAGUUGAGGUCAAGAUAUAAAAUUUCAUAUUCCAGAUUGUGACGUGAGUUUUCAGAGCAACAGGUACAUCUCAGGACAACACUGCACAAUAUCUCGAGAUGAAAAUGGAAAAGUAUGGUUGACAGACAAUAG